UUAAGGGAUUUAAAGACUACUACUUGCACACUUGAAAAUUUUGAAGACUUCAACUUGCAAAAAUAGAGGAUUCGAAACUUCAACU
rnacentral:pre_miRNA from 1 species